rnacentral:RNase_P_RNA from 1 species
AUUGCAGACUAUUCUGUCGUCGUCUCCCGGUUUAACCGGGGGAGGGAGGAAAGUCCGGGCAACAAAGAGCAGCUUGCUUCCUAACGGGAAGAGGUUCAGCAGGAAUGCUGGAUUAUGGAAAGUGCCACAGAAAAGUAAACUACUUUGAAGUUCAGCGAGCUGGACUUCAAAGAAAAGGUGAAAACGUGCGGUAAGAGCGCACGCUGCAGUUGGCGACAAUUGCAUUGGUAAACCCCAGGCGUUGAAAAACCAAAUAGGUCCCGCGGAUGAAACUGCUCGUUUUUAUUCGCUUCGGUGAAUCGCGGGAUGGGUAGGUUGCUGGAGGCCGUGCGCGAGUGCGGUCAUAGAGAAAUGACAGAAUACUUUUCCGACUAGUUCGGGGGAGGAUACAGAACCCGGCUUACAGGUCUGCAUUUUUU